rnacentral:lncRNA from 1 species
AAGAAGAUGACCUUGGCACUGGAGGUUAGAUUUUUUUCCAAAACCUAAAGAGAAAUUUUGUGUGUAUUAGCCCUUGUAUUAAUUCAAAUAGAAAUCUGAUUAAUAGAUGGUUUGUUCCUUUUCGUUAGUCUGAACAGAACGGUAUGUCUGGAUUUAUUAGUCUUCCUGAAUGCUUGUUUUAGUCUUUGCCUUACAAAUAAUUUUUUACUAUUUCACAUUUAAUAGCCUGAAAGGUAUAUUUUUGUCUUGGGGAGAUGAAUAACAGCCUUUAAACCAGAUACGCUGGUUUCCGUGAGAAGCCGUAACCAGCCUGCAAUAAUGAAAGGAGGAGGGACUAAAAGAACUCAUGAAGAGAUGAAACUCAUUGAAAUUAUACAGCAUACAGAGGGAUAUUGCAUCGAAAGAAUCUACAGAAAUGCUGUGUGUUCUUAUGCAAAUAUUAGUGGUAUCACUAGAGCACAAUUAAUUUUAGCUUCACAUUUAAUUAAAAUUCCAAACCUUCCCAGUAUGCUGUUAUGA